rnacentral:rRNA from 1 species
AGAGUUUGAUCCUGGCUCAGAACGAACGCUGGCGGCGUGCCUAAUACAUGCAAGUCGAACGGGUUUUGCCUUCGGGUAAAGCAAGUGGCGCACGGGUGAGGAACACGUGGAUAAUCUGCCUUUUUGUGGGGAAUAACAAUCCGAAAGGAUUGCUAAUACCGCAUAAGACCACAAGAUCUGUGGAUCAAGGGGUUAAAGGUGGCCUCUAUUUAUAAGCUAUCGCAAAAAGAUGAGUCCGCGUCCCAUUAGCUAGUUGGCAGGGUAACGGCCUACCAAGGCAACGAUGGGUAACUGGUCUGAGAGGAUGAUCAGUCACACUGGAACUGAGACACGGUCCAGACUCCUACGGGAGGCAGCAGUAGGGAAUAUUGCACAAUGGGCGAAAGCCUGAUGCAGCAACGCCGCGUGAGUGAUGAAGGUUUUCGGAUCGUAAAGCUCUGUCGUAAGGGAAAAAACAGGCGUAGGCUAAUACCCUUGUCUUUGAUUGUACCUUACAAGAAAGCACCGGCUAACUUCGUGCCAGCAGCCGCGGUAAUACGAGGGGUGCAAGCGUUGUUCGGAAUUACUGGGCGUAAAGCGUGUGUAGGUGGUCAUGUAAGUCAGAUGUGAAAGCCUGGGGCUCAACCCCAGAAGUGCAUCUGAAACUAUUUGACUUGAGUAUGGGAGAGGGUAGCGGAAUUCCUGGUGUAGUGGUAAAAUACGUAGAUAUCAGGAGGAACAUCGGUGGCGAAGGCGGCUACCUGGCCCAAUACUGACACUGAGACACGAAAGCAUGGGGAUCAAACAGGAUUAGAUACCCUGGUAGUCCAUGCCGUAAACGAUGGAUACUUGAGGUUGGAGGUAUUGACCCCUUCAGUCUCGAAGCUAACGCGUUAAGUAUCCCGCCUGGGGAGUACGGUCGCAAGAUUAAAACUCAAAGAAAUUGACGGGGGCCCGCACAAGCGGUGGAGCAUGUGGUUUAAUUCGAUGCAACGCGAAGAACCUUACCUAGCCUUGACUUCCGCAUGAAUAUUCCUGAGAGGGAAUAGCCUUCGGGCAUGCGAGACAGGUGCUGCAUGGCUGUCGUCAGCUCGUGUCGUGAGAUGUUGGGUUAAGUCCCGCAACGAGCGCAACCCCUAUCUUUAGUUGCCAGCAUUAAGUUGGGCACUCUAGAGAGACUGCCGACGUUAAGUCGGAGGAAGGUGGGGAUGACGUCAAGUCCUCAUGGCCCUUAUGGCUAGGGCUACACACGUGCUACAAUGGCAAAUACAAAGGGUCGCAGAGCAGUGAUGUGAAGCUAAUCCCAAAAAAUUUGUCUCAGUUCGGAUUGAAGUCUGCAACUCGACUUCAUGAAGCUGGAAUCGCUAGUAAUCGCGGAUCAGAACGCCGCGGUGAAUACGUUCUCGGGCCUUGUACACACCGCCCGUCACACCAUGAAAGUUGGUUUUACCAGAAGUCGCUGUGGUAACCGCAAGGAGCUAGGCGCCCAAGGUAUGAUCGAUGAUUGGGGUGAAGUCGUAACAAGGUA